rnacentral:lncRNA from 1 species
AAUUUGGGUUUUUCAUGGAUGUUCUUCAUUGUUCUUGAUGUUCUUGCCAAGAACAAAAAGGUUUGGUGUAUUGAUUCAAAGUUUUGAUUUAUUUCAUAAAGUUUAUGUGAUAUGUUUUUUAAAUGAUUUAUCAUGUAUUUAAAGUGUUAAAUAUUUGAUUAAAUGAUGAUAGAAAUAUCUAUCAUCAAAACAUAUAUUAUUUUUAUGAAAGGUGAUAGAAAUAAUGGUGAUAAGAAGUUCUUAUCUUACACCACUUGAUUGUUUUUGACAAAACUCACAAAUCAACACACACACCAAUCUUAUCCCUCCCCAAAACCAGCCACUCCCUCAAAGGGAGUACUUUUGGGGCUUUUAUGCAAUUACAUAAAGUUUUGAUACUUUUGUGUAUUUGCACUUUGGCCCAAAAAUUUACGUUUUUACGUUUAGGUCCAAAAACGCUAAAGGACAAAUUGUUUUGAUCCUUUAAUGAAGUUUUUGCAUUAUUAAAAGUUUGGGUUCUAGUUGUAUUUACAUGAAGUUGUGACUUUUGUGUAUUAUACAAAGUGACCCCAAAAGUUUUUGUAUUUGCAAUAUGGCCCAAAAGUUGAGGUUAAU